GAAACCGGCAUGGUGUGCUCUCUAUAGUAUCCGUCGCAUCCAUUAAAAGCAUCAUGGAGGCAAUGCCAAUUGCCAGACCAGUGAAGACAGUUUUGCGUCAUCUGAUCGGCUUUUCUAGACCGGACUUUAUAGAGACUGACGGCUCUGAUUGGCCUACUGCUGUUGCUGCAGCCCUACCCCACACCCACACUGAUGGGCGCUAUCCCUGCUGCUGAAGUGCCCUGUUUUCACCAGCGUUAUUGCCUGAGUUGCUGUCUCACCAUCGGUGGCUGUAUGAUGCCUGUUGCUACAGAACACAAUUUAGAACCUAGUUUGCUGGUUAAUUUGCCACAUGUUUAACUUGCUAUUGUUGUGAGAAAAAUAAAAAAAAUAAUGAUUGUUGUAAUAAAACAAUCACAUCUUUUCAGUGCAUGUUAAAUCACAACAGGUUUAAAUCAUUUCAAAACUUAUGAUCAGAAUUUUAGUAUUGGU